GGGGUUUUAGCUCAGUUUGGUAGAGCGUUUCUUUUGCACAGAAAAGGUCAAGAGUUCGAAGCUCUUAAACUCCA
rnacentral:tRNA from 1 species